rnacentral:sRNA from 2 species
UCUCUGUGACCUCUUUUCUUACAGUUAGAUGCUCUUUUCAUUCAAUCUAGCAUCACUCAUUCAGAUCUGAUGUAUCUCAUUUCAGUUUGAUACUAUCUAUUCAGAGAUGAUAUUUGCUCUUGCUGCUGUGGUCUAUAUCAAUAUCAUUCAUCACAACUAUAUAAAAUGCUUCUUUUUCUCUCUCUUGUGCACACACUUUCUAUCUUAUUUUUCUUUUCAAUUUCAGUCUUUUCUUGUUUCCUCUCUUUUCAUCAGCAAUUGCUGAACUCUGAUGUCUGUAUUUCUUCUUCUUUUAACAAACACUAAGUCAACUCAUUAUUAUCACUAUCAUUACACUGAAUGAAGUUAUUCAAUCUGCUAUAGCUCAAUUAUUUUUACAACAAUUCAUUAUCUUGAUAACUCUUAUUAUAUUUUUAUACUCUUAUUCUUCUGUGAUUUACUGUUUUCAUUCUUCAGUUUCUUUCUGCUAUUCUUUCAUUCUUUAUACAUUUUUAAUUUAUUUCAUUCAUUACUGUUCUUGAACUGCUGGUCUUUUUUCCUUCUCUUUUCUUAUCUUUUCUUUUUUUUUUUUUAUUAUCUGAUAUCAGAGC